AGCGAACGCUGGCGGCAGGCUUAACACAUGCAAGUCGAACGGGCACUUCGGUGUCAGUGGCAGACGGGUGAGUAACACGUGGGAACGUACCUUUUGGUUCGGAACAACUGAGGGAAACUUCAGCUAAUACCGGAUAAGACCUUACGGGGAAAGAUGUAUCGCCGAAAGAUCGGCCCGCGUCUGAUUAGUUAGUUGGUAGGGUAAUGGCCUACCAAGGCGACGAUCAGUAGCUGGUCUGAGAGGAUGAUCAGUCACAUUGGGACUGAGACACGGCCCAAACUCCUACGGGAGGCAGCAGUGGGGAAUAUUGGACAAUGGGGGCAACCCUGAUCCAGCCAUGCCGCGUGAGUGAUGAAGGCCCUAGGGUUGUAAAGCUCUUUUGUGCGGGAAGAUAAUGACGGUACCGCAAGAAUAAGCCCCGGCUAACUUCGUGCCAGCAGCCGCGGUAA
rnacentral:rRNA from 1 species